AGAAGUUGGAGACCACGGACGUGUUCACACUGGAGAGAAACCGUACUGGUGUGAACAAUGUGGUAAAACUUUUUCUCAUAGUAGUCACCUUAAAUCUCACCAGCGCGUUCACACUGGAGAGAAACC